UGCCGUCUGCAGCUGUCUCCUGCAGCUCGAGAGACAGGGCGAAAAGUAGUCACUGAGGCUGCUUUAAUAAUCAGCAUACGCGAAACACCUUGGUUUUCUCGGUGCUGAGCGUUGAAGAGGAAGCCUUGUCGCGGCCUCGCCAGAGACAUUUUUGUGUGGCUGGGAACAAGAACCGUGCAUUUUCAGGCUUCCCCUGAGUUUUGCGCUUUAUUUUCUCACAGAAACUUGAGCGAGGCAAUUUUUGGGAAAGAAGUCUUUUUCUGAGCGGUCUGAGGUGGGAAAUCAGAGCGAUUCCCAGCCGCAGAGAAAGGGGAGCCGAUUUUUCCGAUUCGGGCUGGUUUCUGGCGCGAGACAGCGAAGGCCCAGAGAAAGGGGAACGCGGCGGCGGCGGCGAUGGGACGACAGGACGGUGUUGGGGACGCCCUGAGGGGACCUCACCUUGACUAUAAGGUUAGAAAGAAGAGUUGGUGUGUACAAGCAAUUGAGGACGUUUAGCAGGCAGGUACCCACAGCAGCUGGAUACAGGCUCCCACAGCCAGACACCUGCAUCACCAGGCUCACCGGGGCCUGCCACCCUCCUCACUGAGGACACCCAGGAUGAUGUUCUCCAGCCCUGUCUGCACCCUUAGCUGUCACCUGGCCCAGAACCACAGCCUGCCAAAGCAGGAGACCCUCACAGUCCUGCCCCUAACAGGGAGAAUCUUCUUUGUUUUCCUGCCUGAAGGACAAGGAGGUUUUCAGGUUCCAUCAGCACCAGCUGGCUGACAGCCAGUUCCCAAACGCUCAGGCCGCCUCAUUCUCCAUGAGACGAUACAGCACUUCUCCAUCGUCUUCAGCACAAAGAGCUGAAAUUCCUCAGUGGGCUUGAUCAACAGUGGGCAGAUCUGGAGACUAGUUUGGUGCAGGAGAUGGAGAGGAAAAGACCCUGCUGGGCAAUGAGGACUCCAGCCUGACUUUGAAGAACUUCCAAAGGACCAGGCUCGAUCUGAAAAGAAAGUCCACAGCUGCUGUGCCCAGGACAAUAUGAGAGUGGAAGUUAAGGCAUGAAAAUCAGAGUGUGCUUUCCCUGUAUGUUCAACCUCAGAGAACCCAGGAGUGGGAAAAGGAGACCUGGACCCAAUCUUCUACAAUGGGGUCUUCUCUGCUUAGAGGUGGCCUCUAGCGCGUCCAUAUUCACUCCCUUCAAUGACUUUUCUUCUGAUUCAGUUGUAAAUACAUCGAGUCAUCUCAGCACAUUGUUUUUCAACAGUAAGUGGAACAAUACAAAAUAAAAAACAAUACAAAAAUAAUACAA